UCCUUUCAUGUUCAGUGGAGGAAUAUAGGAAGCUGCCUUUUACUGAGUCAGACCCAUUGGCCCAUGGAGCUCUGUAUUGUCUAUGCUAACUGGCAGCUGCUCUCCAGGGUUUCCUCCCAGUACAACCAGGAGACACCAGGGGUUGAACCCGGGACCUUCUGCAUGCAAAGCAGUUGCUCUGUCACUGAGCUACAGCCCUUUUCAUCCAUGGCUGGUGUGAGGCCGCUAGAGUCUCUUGAUGCACCAGGACCAGGUCUUCUCAGAAUUGGGUUGUUUGGCAAUGCAGCCCAAAGACGGUGCAAAGGCUAAAUACUGGCACUAGACCUAAAAUCAACAAGUACCUGGGGGGAAGCUGAAAAGAACCUUGACGAGAGAGUGCAAGCAAAGCCUUUUAGUACCCAAAUAUGUUGGCCCUGGAUAAUAUCUUCUGAAAAAAGUAUGUGAGCUGCAAGCCAGGAAAUCCCUAGUUCAAGUCUCAACUUAAACUCACCAUGAUGCUAGUAGCCUCAUGUUUAUAAUGCGUGCACAUAUAAAGGAGCAGGAUUCAAUCAACAAGCUCUGCCCCUACCAUAUGUACAUACAUUUGCCCACAUGUGUAUAAAUUUAUAAACUGUACAUGUAGAGAUUUGUAUAAGUGGCAGGGGAUAAACACAGUCUCAACUUCUGUGUAUGCGUCUGCAUCCAUAGGUACUUCAAAAAUGUACAAAAAUAUGU